rnacentral:rRNA from 1 species
CUCCGGUUGAUCCCGCCGGAUCCGACUGCUAUCAGAGUGGGACUAAGCCAUGCGAGUCAACGCCGCAAGGCGUGGCAUACGGCUCAGUAACACGUAGUCAACAUGCCCAGGGGACGUGGAUAACCUCGGGAAACUGAGGAUAAACCGCGAUAGGCCAAGGUUUCUGGAAUGGACACUGGCUGAAACCUAUAUGGCCCCUGGAUUGGACUGCGGCCGAUCAGGCUGUUGGUGAGGUAAUGGCCCACCAAACCUGUAACCGGUACGGGCUUUGAGAGAAGGAGCCCGGAGAUGGGCACUGAGACAAGGGCCCAGGCCCUAUGGGGCGCAGCAGGCGCGAAACCUCUGCAAUAGGCGAAAGCUUGACAGGGUUACUCUGAGUGAUGUCCGCUAAGGGCAUCUUUUGGCACCUCUAAAAAUGGUGCAGAAUAAGGGGUGGGCAAGUCUGGUGUCAGCCGCCGCGGUAAUACCAGCACCCCGAGUGGUCGGGACGAUUAUUGGGCCUAAAGCAUCCGUAGCUUGUUCUGCAAGUCCUCCGUUAAAUCCACCUGCUCAACAGAUGGGCUGCGGGGGAUACUACAGGGCUAGGAGGCGGGAGAGGCAAACGGUACUCAGUGGGUAGGGGUAAAAUCCUCUGAUCCACUGAAGACCACCAGUGGCGAAGGCGGUUUGCCAGAACGCGCUCGACGGUGAGGGAUGAAAGCUGGGGGAGCAAACCGGAUUAGAUACCCGGGUAGUCCCAGCUGUAAACGAUGCAGACUCGGUGAUGGGUUGGCUUCGAGCCAACCCAGUGCCGCAGGGAAGCCGUUAAGUCUGCCGCCUGGGGAGUACGGUCGCAAGACUGAAACUUAAAGGAAUGGGCGGGGGAGCA